rnacentral:rRNA from 1 species
GACGAACCGUGCGAACGUUGUUCGGAUUCACUGGGCUUAAAAGGCGCGUAGGCGGGCGACCAAGUCAGGGGUGAAAUCUUUCGGCCCAACCGGAAAAGUGCCCCUGAUACUGGCCGCCUCGAGGGGGGUAGGGGCAUGCGGAACUUCCGGUGGAGCGGUGAAAUGCGUAGAUAUCGGAAGGAACGCCGGUGGCGAAAGCGGCGUGCUGGACCCCUUCUGACGCUGAGGCGCGAAAGCCAGGGGAGCAAACGGG